CAGCACCUCAAGUGGUCAGGAUGAUUAUUGGGCCUAAAGCAUCCGUAGCCGGCGCCGUAAGUGUUCGGUUAAAUCUGUACGCUCAACGUACAGGCUGCCGGGAAUACUGCAGCGCUAGGGAGUGGGAGAGGUAGACGGUACUCGGUAGGAAGGGGUAAAAUCCUUUGAUCUAUUGAUGACCACCUGUGGCGAAGGCGGUCUACCAGAACACGUCCGACGGUGAGGGAUGAAAGCUGGGGGAGCAAACCGGAUUAGAUACCCGAGUAGUCC
rnacentral:rRNA from 1 species